CACCCCUGCCCCGGAAACGUGCGCUCCCAGGUUCCAGACCUGGCUAGAAAUCCGAGUCCGAGGUGGACGCAGCCAAUGGGAGAAACUAAGAAGCAUCUGGAGAGCUGAAUCCAAAUUCCCACGCAACAGAGCAGAAGCAGAGGACCCCAAUGCCCCAUGCAAGGAAGGAGUGAGAUGACCUCUCUGGUGACCUGUCAUUGAGGGAUCAUUCCUCGGUCAGGGGACCACCCUUUGUGCCAUGCUGGGGAUUGAACACAACACUUCAUGUACUCUGGACCAGAACUCUACAACCGAGCUACAUUCCCAGCUCAGCUAUGACAAUGGAUUCGAAGGCUCUUUGUUUAUAAGGGCUGCAUAAGUAUUAUCAUGCAUAUAGGGCCCUGGAUGUUAGAGAUUUCUUCCAGAACCAACCCUCAGGAGAAAGAACUGGAGACUUGAGAGGAAGAGCUAGAUGGAGUAGGAGGGCAUCUUUGUCCUCUCAGGAUCGUGGUUUGCUAUGUCAGUUCUUUAUGUGUGCUACGAGCAGGAGUUCUCUCUCCCAUCUAAGCUGGACGUCCCUAACCACUGAAACCCAGGAGGUCUAGCAUGCUCAGGGCGGCAUGGCUGCAGCAUCCCUCAGCUAGCAUUUAAAUGCUUUGCUUACUACCCCACCACCUCCACCACCAAUGUCUCAGACAACCCAACACAACAGCCGACAGGACUAGCUCUAACUCCUAGGUGGGACUCUUACUUGAAUGAAAAGCAUCGAGCAGACAGGAGGGGCAGAAUAGGGCAUCUGGCAGAGGAAUCGGUGGCGGAAGCUUAAAGGUCAAAGUGCAGCCGGGCGGUGAUGGUGCGGUCCUGUCUAGUCAUCAUUCCUCGCGAUCCCUUGGAUUAUCUACCAGCCUGGUGUCCCUGGGAGAAGCUACACUGUGAAGACACUGCUAUCCCGGGACCAGACGAACCACAGAUGCUUUCCCAGCACACGGAGAAGACAAGGAAACCAAACAGAAUCUGCAUUUCCUAACAGAAGACCGAGUCCUUUAAAGUCAAUAUUGUUUUUUUUCUUCCAAUUUCUUGUGUGUUUAAAGAGAUAUAAAGUGCAUAAGGGAAGUAGGGCCGGUGUCUAGGGUGGGAAGGAAGGAAACAGACAGGCAGACACAGCAGGAAUAAGGUCCUGGGUAGGUAUGUAAAUACGCAGACAGACCGCAAACAGAAACAACACCCCCCCCACCCCCCAGGCACGAACAUGUGCAGGGGCUGCAGGGGACGUUUUCCCAGCGUGGCUGUGGAACGCUCUACCACCAAACUCCAAGCCCAAAAUUCCCCAUGGAAAACCACCUGGAGCUGUUCUUGUAAUUUGUGCAUCAGAGGACAAAGAAGCUGAGAAAAGUCCACCUCAUCCUCUGACUGUGAGGUGAGGAGAAACAUGGGGAUGGGGCCAUCUUGCACUUGACCCAGGGCUCACUGCCAAUGUGAGCUUGUGGGCAAGCUCAAUAAAAUCUCGACUGUGGCCGCAUCCUUUUCCAAUGGAAGCACAUAAUUCAUGUUAGGGAGGACCAUUAAAGCCACUGGAUGGUCCCUUUGCUCAUGGGGUGGUGAUGCUGGAGACAGGCUUAUGACGUCAUGCUUGAUUAUUUCAGACUUGCAAAUCCAUGUUUUGUAGAAUUUUAAAAAAAAUUCAUAAAUAAUGUGUUACACAGAGAGAAAAAGAAAAAAGAAAAAAGAAAUGCCACCCUACUCUGUGCCCCUGCUUUAAAACUGACAAUUGCUGGUUAUGCUCUGCAGGCUACAGAUGUGUGUACCACAUCUGGUGCCAAAUAUGCUCGAGAUUCUCCUGCAAAUCAGAAAACUCUUCCUUCUACCUGAUGAGAGUCUCAAGGAACGCCACACCCCCACCCCGGGAAUAGAUGGAAUGUAACUUCACAAUACAAAAAUGACUUCAAGUUUUCCAAGCACAAUGGUCAUCCCACUAUAAAAAUAGCAUGCCCCCACCCUCUCCCACCUCUACCGCGCUUUCCAAUUAUAAAAUAGUACAAUCAUUUUCUAUGAGUAAGUUGAAAGCUUCUGUACACGUACGAACGUAUUUCACGCUGUUUACAUUCACACAGGAGGAAGUCCUUUUAUUGAUCUUCCUUUGAGAUGUCACACGAGGAAGUGGAACAGACCUCUGCUGAUAAUCCCGACACACCCCAGCCGGAAGCCUCUCCCCAGACAGCGACAGAACACGGCAACAUUUUAAAACAGGUCCGCCUUGCGGUCUCCUACAGCUCUUUAGAGUUCAUGACAUUCUCUUCUCAUGUGAGAAGUGUUAACAAAUCCUACCACUAUUGAGGGAAUGGUAUGGAUAAAAAGCAAGACACACAUUGCUAAAGUGGAGACCCGUGGAAAAUAAACGUUCUGAAAGAAUCUAGGUAUUGUUCCAGCAGAGGGCGCUCUGCCCCUUACGAUAACAUCCUACAGCACUGACAAUAUCGACACAAAUUUAGAAUGCUAAGCUCGGGCACUGACCUUCAUCUGUUCUAGCCCUACAGACGACAAUUUGGUAUUUUCUUCAAAGAGCAGAGUAUACUAGUGAGCUAGCUCUUAUACAUGAAAAUUCUUUGGCUGUUUGAAGUCUUCACAUUUUCAAAGAAAACAAACAAUAUUCUGAGUUCAAUAUAAGUGGUAGAUUUGUCUGGAAGUUUUGAAGGAGCAAAGGGGCUAAACACUAGAGAUUGAAGAGGGAAUGUUACCAAGGCCACAGUUUCUUUAUUUUAGAGUUAUGGAUUUAGCAAGACCAAGAAGCAGCCCCCCCCCCCCCAAUCAAAGCCACUAAAGGUCCAUCUUGACUUUUGCUCGUGAGAACAUCAGGAGAAAAUUCAGCUAGUUCGCGGAAGAACAUGUGUCCAUUUGGGUGGCACUCAGUCUUUGGUUUAUUUAGCACACGUGGUCCUCACAUCUUCCUGGCUUCCCCAAGGUCACCGCUGGCCUAAGGUUGGCAAACCCACAGACUUUCUAUCCAGGAAUGUCUUUGGGGAACUCAGCUUUCUCUCUGUUCUCUGCAGAUGUUCUGUCUGCCUGUGUUUAGUGCUCUUACAAGAAGCGCACUCCCACCUAACCACCACCAAUGAGCAUGAACCAAGAGGACAGGGAGCAAACAGCUUUGCAGUGAGUGUGGGCACCAACAGGACUAUGGGUUAGAGGAGCUGGCAACUGAGGUUCAUGAGAAAAGCCGCUCAGUUAUGAGGAUUAUGACAGAGAGAGUGUCGAUCAGGAAGGAUGCAGACACGGAGAGGAAGUGAGUGACAGACAGGCUUGUCUAGGAUCUGCGCUCACUUUCGUUAGCUCUGGGGCAGCAUCAUGCCACCAAAAGACUUGCAGUGGGGCAAAGUGGCUGCCUAUCUAGUCGACUUCAAAUACUACUGUCCCUGCUAUAAAAGGCUUGGUGCUAGGGGCAAAGCAGAGCGAAUAGAACUGCCCAUCACUGAGAGACGGAGCCCUGCUUUUCAGAACUAACCCAUUUUUCUGCUAUUCCAAUUUUCUUUGCAGUUCAAGAGUGUUUUAACUCAUAAAUAUUAAAUUAUUAAACGCCCAUUCUCCCUGGGACCCACUGAUGAGCUCUGAACCCAGGGCAGGGGCAUUUUUUCCAGAGAGACUUCCCCCUAAGCCAGCCCUGCUUUGACCUGGGGUUCUCUCCCCUCGUUGAUGUCCUUUCGGCCACCUCCCCUGUGAAAUGCAGGCAUCAACCCUGCUCUUUGGUCCACUCUGAACAGGACAGAGAUGGUGCUCAAGACAGUAGGUAGCCGACCUCGGAAGAGCAGCACCUCUGUUCCUCUUCGACAGAGUUAAGUGGUCCAUGGAUGCUAGAGGAGCUUGGGCAGAUGUCAGAUACAGGAGCCACAGAGUCUGCUUCUGGGGCACGUGGACUAGAAGGUUAUAGAUUCUGGUUAUGUAAGAUAGCAGAUUCCCUAGCCGGGUGGUGGUGGCGCACACCUUUAAUCACAAGACUCGGGAGGCAGAGGCAGGCGGAUCU